GUGCUCGAUUUGGAAGCACAUAUACUAAAAUUGGAAGAUUAGCAUGGCCCCUGUGAAAGAAAUGAAAAAGUUCAAGUUACCACAAAAAAUA
rnacentral:snRNA from 1 species